rnacentral:rRNA from 1 species
UACGGAGGGGGCUAGCGUUGUUCGGAAUUACUGGGCGUAAAGCGCGCGUAGGCGGACCUGCAAGUCGGGGGUGAAAGCCCGAGGCUCAACCUCGGAACUGCCUUCGAUACUGCGGGUCUCGAGUCCGGGAGAGGUGAGUGGAAUUCCUAGUGUAGAGGUGAAAUUCGUAGAUAUUAGGAAGAACACCAGUGGCGAAGGCGG